GCAGCAGCCACGGGAAUACAGAGGGUGCGAGCGUUAAUCGGAUUUACUGGGCGUAAAGCGUGCGUAGGCGGCUUUUUAAGUCGGAUGUGAAAUCCCUAAGCUUAACUUAGGAAUUGCAUUCGAUACUGGGAAGCUAGAGUAUGGGAGAGGAUGGUAGAAUUCCAGGUGUAGCGGUGAAAUGCGUAGAGAUCUGGAGGAAUACCGAUGGCGAAGGCAGCCAUCUGGCCUAAUACUGACGCUGAGGUACGAAAGCAUGGGGAGCAAACAGGAUUAGAGACCCCAGUAGUCCCUGUCUCUUAUAA
rnacentral:rRNA from 1 species